rnacentral:rRNA from 1 species
UACGGAGGAUGCGAGCGUUAUCCGGAUUUAUUGGGUUUAAAGGGUGCGCAGGCGGAUUUUUAAGUCAGCGGUCAAAUCGUGGGGCUCAACCCCAUCCAGCCGUUGAAACUGGGGAUCUAGAGUGUGCGAGAGGUAUGCGGAAUGCGUGGUGUAGCGGUGAAAUGCAUAGAUAUCACGCAGAACCCCGAUUGCGAAGGCAGCAUACCGGUGCACAACUGACGCUCAGGCACGAAAGCGUGGGUACCGAACAGG